UACGGAGGGAGCUAGCGUUGUUCGGAAAUACUGGGCGUAAAGCGCACGUAGGCGGCGCAGCAAGUCAGGGGUGAAAUCCCGGGGCUCAACCCCGGAACUGCCCUUGAAACUGCAGUGCUAGAAUUCUGGAGAGGCGAGUGGAAUUCCGAGUGUAGAGGUGAAAUUCGUAGAUAUUCGGAAGAACACCAGUGGCGAAGGCGACUCGCUGGACAGACAUUGACGCUGAGGUGCGAAAGCGUGGGGAGCAAACAGGG
rnacentral:rRNA from 1 species